rnacentral:rRNA from 1 species
CGAGAGCCUGAACCAGCCAUCCCGCGUGCAGGAUGACGGCCCUAUGGGUUGUAAACUGCUUUUCUACGCCAAGAAACGGUCCUACGUGUAGGGCACUGACGGUAGCGUAGGAAUAAGCAUCGGCUAACUCCGUGCCAGCAGCCGCGGUAAUACGGAGGAUGCAAGCGUUAUCCGGAUUCAUUGGGUUUAAAGGGUGCGCAGGCGGGGAUGUAAGUCAGUGGUGAAAAACUGCCGCUCAACGGUAGUCGUGCCAUUGAUACUGCAUCUCUUGAGUUUGGAUGAGGUAGGCGGAAUGUGCAGUGUAGCGGUGAAAUGCAUAGAUAUUGCACAGAACACCAAUUGCGAAGGCAGCUUACUAAUCCACCACUGACGCUGAGGCACGAAAGCGUGGGGAGCGAACAGGAUUAGAUACCCUGGUAGUCCACGCCGUAAACGAUGUUCACUCGCUGUUUGCGAUACACAGUAAGCGGCUGAGCGAAAGCAUUAAGUGAACCACCUGGGGAGUACGAUCGCAAGGUUGAAACUCAAAGGAAUUGACGGGGGCCCGCACAAGCGGAGGAACAUGUGGUUUAAUUCGAUGAUACGCGAGGAACNUUACCUGGGCUUAAAUGUAGAGUGCAUGCGGUGGAAACACCCUUCCCUUCGGGGCUCUCUGCAAGGUGCUGCAUGGUUGUCGUCAGCUCGUGCCGUGAGGUGUCGGGUUAAGUCCCAUAACGAGUGCAACCCUUACCGUUAGUUGCCAACAGGUUAAGCUGGGGACUCUAGCGGGACUGCCACCGUAAGGUGAGAGGAAGGUGGGGAUGACGUCAAAUCAGCACGGCCCUUAUGUCCAGGGCUACACACGUGUUACAAUGGCCGGUACAGAGGGCAGCUACUCCGCGAGGAGAUGCUAAUCUUCAAAGCCGGUCUCAGUUCGGAUUGGAGUCUGCAACCCGACUCCAUGAAGUUGGAUUCGCUAGUAAUCGCGCAUCAGCCAUGGCGCGGUGAAUACGUUCCCGGGCCUUGUACACACCGCCCGUCAAACCAUGGGAGCUGGGGGUGCCUGAAGUCUGUGACCGAGAGGAGCGGCCUAGGGUAAAACCAGUGACUGGGGUUAAGUCGUAACAAGGUAACC